GAUGAACGCUGGCGGCGUGCCUAAUACAUGCAAGUCGAGCGAACAGACGAGGAGCUUGCUCCUCUGACGUUAGCGGCGGACGGGUGAGUAACACGUGGAUAACCUACCUAUAAGACUGGGAUAACUUCGGGAAACCGGAGCUAAUACCGGAUAAUAUAUUGAACCGCAUGGUUCAAUAGUGAAAGACGGUUUUGCUGUCACUUAUAGAUGGAUCCGCGCCGCAUUAGCUAGUUGGUAAGGUAACGGCUUACCAAGGCAACGAUGCGUAGCCGACCUGAGAGGGUGAUCGGCCACACUGGAACUGAGACACGGUCCAGACUCCUACGGGAGGCAGCAGUAGGGAAUCCUCCGCAAUGGACGAAAGCUUGACGGAGCAACGCCGCGUGAGUGAUGAAGGUCUUCGGAUCGUAAAACUCUGUUAUUAGGGAAGAACAAAUGUGUAAGUAACUAUGCACGUCUUGACGGUACCUAAUCAGAAAGCCACGGCUAACUACGU
rnacentral:rRNA from 1 species